rnacentral:rRNA from 1 species
ACAGUGGCGAAAGGGCGAGUAAUGCACUCCUACGUACCCCGAGGCGGGGGAUAGGUCGUGGAAACGCGGCGUAAUACCCCAUGUGCUCUCUGGAGGAAAGGCUUCGGCCGCCUCGGGAGCGGGGAGUGUCCUAUCAGGUAGUUGGUGAGGUAAAGGCUCACCAAGCCGAAGACGGGUAGCGGGUGUGAGAGCAUGACCCGCCGCAUCGGGACUGAGACACUGCCCGGACUCCUACGGGAGGCUGCAGCGACGAAUCUUCCGCAAUGCGCGAAAGCGUGACGGAGCAAUGCCGCGUGCGGGAUGAAGCGGCUUCGCCGUGUAAACCGCUGUCAGGGGUCAGAAAUACUGAUCAACCCCAAAGGAAGGGCCGGCUAACCUCGUGCCAGCAGCCGCGGUAAGACGAGGGGCCCGAGCGUUAAUCGGAAUCACUGGGCUUAAAGGGUACGUAGGCGGAUGUGUAGGUGUCUUGUGAAAUCCCUCGGCUCAACCGGGGAACUGCAAGGCAAACCACACGUCUUGAGGCAGGUAGAGGUCGUCGGAACGAUAGGUGGAGCGGUGAAAUGCGUAGAUAUCUAUCGGAACGCCGAAGGUGAAGACAGACGACUGGGCCUGUUCUGACGCUGAGGUACGAAAGCGUGGGGAGCAAACGGGAUUAGAUACCCCGGUAGUCCACGCCCUAAACGAUGUGCACUAGGUCGAGGUGGAUCUGACU